rnacentral:rRNA from 1 species
ACACGUAGGAGGCGAGCGUUAUCCGGAUUUACUGGGUGUAAAGCGCGUGCAGGCGGUUCGGAAAGUUGGAUGUGAAAGCUCCUGGCUUAACUGGGAGAGGUCGUUCAGUACUUCUGGACUCGAGAGUGGGAGAGGGAGGUGGAAUUCCGGGUGUAGUGGUGAAAUGCGUAGAUAUCCGGAGGAACACCAGUGGCGAAAGCGGCCUCCUGGCCCAUUUCUGACGCUCAGACGCGAAAGCUAGGGUAGC